GUUGUAAAGCACUUUUGGCAGGGAAGAAAAGGGCGCUGGUUAAUACCUGGGCGUUGAUGACGGUACCUGCAGAAUAAGCACCGGCUAACUACGUGCCAGCAGCCGCGGGUAAUACGUAGGGUGCAAGCGUUAAUCGGAAUUACUGGGCGUAAAGGGUGCGUCGGCGGUUUGGCAAGAAAGGUGUGAAAUCCCAGGGCUUAACCUUGGAACUGCACUUUUAACUGCCAGGCUAGAGUACGUCAGAGGGGGGUAGAAUUCCACGUGUAGCAGUGAAAUGCGUAGAGAUGUNGGAGNGAAUACCGANUGGNCGAAGGCAGCCCCCUGGGAUGAUACUGACGCUCAGGCACGAAAGCGUGGGGAGCAAACAGGAUUAAAUACCCUGGUAGUCCACGCCCUAAACGAUGUCAACUAGCUGUUGGGGCCGUUAGGCUUUAGUAGCGCAGCUAACGCGUGAAGUUGACCGCCUGGGGAGUACGGUCGCAAGAUUAAAACUCAAAGGAAUUGACGGGGACCCGCACAAGCGGUGGAUGAUGUGGAUUAAUUCGAUGCAACGCGAAAAACCUUACCUACCCUUGACAUGUCUGGAAGGCCGAAGAGAUUUGGCUGUGCUCGCAAGAGAACCGGAACACAGGUGCUGNCAUGGNCUGUCGUNNCAGCUCNGUGNNUCGUNGAGAUGUUGGGUUAAGUCCCGCAACGAGCGCAACCCUUGUCAUUAGUUGCUACGAAAGGGCACUCUAGUGAGACUGCCGGUGACAAACCGGAGGAAGGUGGGGAUGACGUCAAGUCCUCAUGGCCCUUAUGGGUAGGGCUUCACACGUCAUACAAUGGUCGGGACAGAGGGUUGCCAACCCGCGAGGGGGAGCCAAUCUCAGAAACCCGAUCGUAGUCCGGAUUGCAGGCUGCAACUCGCCUGCAUGAAGUCGGAAUCGCUAGUAAUCGCGGAUCAGCAUGUCGCGGUGAAUACGUUUCCCCGGGUCUUGUAACACACCGCCCGUCACACCAUGGGAGUGGGUUUUCACCAGAAAGUAGGUAGCCCUAAACCGUAAAGGGGGGCGCUUUACCACGGUGGGAUUUCAUGACCUGGGGUGAAGUCGUAACAAAGGUUACCCAU
rnacentral:rRNA from 1 species